CGGGUCGCUGGUGGCCACUGGUGGCGGGUGCGUCACGGGGAUGACCACGUGUCUAGAACGCUGAGGUCCAG
ensembl:snoRNA small nucleolar RNA, C/D box 114-18